rnacentral:lncRNA from 1 species
UCUCUUCUCAACGAGGAUUUCAAAGUCAACAACGAGAACAAUAGGGAAUAUCAUGAGUCUUUGAGAGAGUUGACCUCGGAGGAGUUGUUAGGAGAAUUGAACGACAUUUGUUCAAAAUGGGAAACUCCACCCGAGAUGGUUAGUGUUGAUUCUAGGCCCGAUUUUGAGAGUCAUGUAGGUGAAUCACCGACAUUUGACUCAUUAUUUCAUAAUUCACAUAGCGCCUUAGGAAGAGAUGACACCGUUUCUUACAUCGUUCCUAGUGAUUUAUCCUAUGACCAUAAUCGCAUAGUCUCUAAUUUGCUUGAUAAUAAAGAAGCAUUAAGUUGGUUUAGGGAGAACAUUAGCGAUACUUGUCCUUUAGGGGUAAACGAUGGUCAUAUGCUAGAGAAAGUCUUUGUGCCUAAAAAUUUUCGUACACAUUUUGACUCUUUCUCGAAGCUUCCUCCCAUAUUUCCUUCCGGAAUUGGCUGAAGUGGUUCCGUCUUAGAACCUUCCCCCAUGAAGUUCAGGUAUGGGGAAGGAAAUGUGUGAGUGUGUGGGUCGUGUUAGUGUUUCAUUCGUUAAUAAAAAUCCCCUUCAUAUCCAUUUCAGGUAUUUUUCUCUUUACUCUCUCAUUUUAAUUCUCUCUUUUGCAUACAUUGAGGACAAUGCAUG